GAUGAAGAACGUAGCGAAAUGCGAUAAGUAAUGUGAAUUGCAGAAUUCAGUGAAUCAUCGAAUCUUUGAACGCACCUUGCGCCCUUUGGCUAUUCCGAAGGGCAUGCCUGUUUGAGUAUCGUGAACACCUCAACUCUCAUGGUUUGCCAUGAUGAGCUUGGACUUUGGGGGUUUUGCUGGCCUUUGGUCGGCUCCUCUCAAACGGAUCAGCUUUCCAGUGUUUGGUGGCGUCACGGGUGUGAUAACUAUCUACGCCUGUGGUUUUCUGCCAGAUAACCUUCAGCGAUGGAGGUUCGCUGGGGCUCAUAAAUGUCUCUCUUCAGUGGAGACAGCUUUUUGGACGUUUGAUCUCAAAUCAGGUAGGACUACCUGCUGAACUUAAGCAUAUCAAUAAGCGGAGGA
rnacentral:misc_RNA from 1 species